AUUGAACGCUAGCGGGAUGCUUUACACAUGCAAGUCGAACGGCAGCGCGGACUUCGGUCUGGCGGCGAGUGGCGAACGGGUGAGUAAUGUAUCGGAACGUGCCCAGUAGCGGGGGAUAACUACGCGAAAGCGUAGCUAAUACCGCAUACGCCCUACGGGGGAAAGCAGGGGAUCGUAAGACCUUGCACUAUUGGAGCGGCCGAUAUCGGAUUAGCUAGUUGGUGAGGUAACGGCUCACCAAGGCGACGAUCCGUAGCUGGUUUGAGAGGACGACCAGCCACACUGGGAGUGAGACAGGGCCCAGACGCCUGCGGGAGGCAGCAGUGGGGAAUGUUGGGCAAUGGGGGCAACCCUGAUCCAGCGAUCCCGCGUGUGCGAUGAAGGCCUUCGGGUUGUAAAGCACUUUUGGCAGGAAAGAAACGUCGCGGGCUAAUACCCCGUGGAACUGACGGUACCUGCAGAAUAAGCACCGGCUAACUACGUG
rnacentral:rRNA from 1 species